AUUGAACGCUGGCGGCAGGCCUAACACAUGCAAGUCGAGCGGAUGAGUGGAGCUUGCUCCAUGAUUCAGCGGCGGACGGGUGAGUAAUGCCUAGGAGUCUGCCUGGUAGUGGGGGACAACGUUUCGAAAGGAACGCUAAUACCGCAUACGUCCUACGGGAGAAAGCAGGGGACCUUCGGGCCUUGCGCUAUCAGAUGAGCCUAGGUCGGAUUAGCUAGUUGGUGAGGUAAAGGCUCACCAAGGCGACGAUCCGUAACUGGUCUGAGAGGAUGAUCAGUCAGACUGGAACUGAGACCCGGUCCAGACUCCUACGGGAGGCAGCAGUGGGGAAUAUUGGACAAUGGGCGAAAGCCUAAUCCAGCCAUGCCGCGUGUGUGAAGAAGGUCUUCGGAUUGUAAAGCACUUUAAGUUGGGAAGAAGGGCAGUAAGUUAAUACCUUGCUGUUUUGACGUUACCGACAGAAUAAGCACCGGCUAACUUCGUGCCAGCCGCCGCCGUAACAC
rnacentral:rRNA from 1 species